AUGUCUGUCUAUGCCAUAUGCACCUGAUUGUGUCUGAUCUCAGAAGCUAAACAAGGUUAGGUCCUGGUUAGUACUUGGAUAGGAAAAAGGGUAAAAGUCACA
rnacentral:rRNA from 1 species